rnacentral:lncRNA from 1 species
AACAAAAGCAGGGUAGGGCUCCAGCUAAGCCACGUAGGCACUACGAUGGGCAACAGAAAGGUUGGUUUCUGGGCAAUUCAGAGAAACCAAGGACAGCUACCCCCAGAACUCAGAGUAGCCAACUGGGCUGCUCACAGGAGAUGCCUUAACUGAAAGGUGAUCAGACUCCACAGGAGACCCAGAGAAGAUGUGGAGGGAGCUCAGAGGCUGUCCUGGAGGAGACGUGGAGACAGCUCAGAGGCUGUCCCAGAGAAGACGUGGAAAGAGCUCAGAGGCUGUCCCAGAGAAGACGUGGAGAGCUCAGAGGAUGUCCCAGAGAAGACGUGGAGAGAGUUCAGAGGCUGUCCCGGAGAAGACGUGGAAAGAGCUCAGAAACUCAGAGACUGUCCCGGAGAAGACAUGGAAACAGCUCAGAGGCUGUCUGCAAGAAGACGUGCAGAGAGUUCAGAGGCUGUCCCGGAGAAGACAUGGAGAGAGCUCAAAGGCUGUCCACAAGAAGAUGUGGAGAGAGUUCAGAGGCUGUCGUUACUGCUGCACUUGGCUGUUUUUCUUUGGAUAAUUAUUGCAAUCAAUUUUAGUAAUUCAGGUGUUAAAUCACAGUCAAGCACCUAUUUACCUAGUGUGGUCUGAUGAAUUUCACUUCUUUGAUACUUUUUGAGAGAGCUGAGAGUCCAUUUCCUGAGGAAGAAACUCAGAGAAAACAAAUGUAAAAUCCUUAAGUAAGUCAUAUUUGGUUGGGAAGAUCAAAGAAAUCACCCAGUCUCCCACAUCCGAAAUUGUGCAGUCCGGACUGUCAGGAACAAAAGUGAAAGAGAGACGUCAUCAAGGCCGGGCGCGGUGGCUCAUGCCUGUAAUCCCAGCACUUUGGAAGGCCAAGGAGGGCGGAUCAUGAGGUCAGGAGUUCAAGACCAGCCUGGCCAAUAUGGUGAAACCCUGUCUCUACUAAAAAUAAAAAAAUUAGCCAGGCGUGGUGGCAGGCACCUGUAAUCCCAGCUACUUGGGAGGCUGAGGCAGAAGAAUCACUUGAACCUGAGAGGCAGAGGUUGCAAUAAGCCAAGAUUGUGCCAUUGCACUCCAGCCUGGGAGACAAAGCGAGACUCCAUCUC